UACGAAGGGGGCUAGCGUUGUUCGGAGUUACUGGGCGUAAAGGGCGCGUAGGCGGCGCAUCAAGUCAGGCGUGAAAGCCCUGGGCUCAACCCGGGAAUUGCGCUUGAGACUGGUGUGCUUGAGUACGGGAGAGGAUAGUGGAAUUCCCAGUGUUAGAGGUGAAAUUCGUAGAUAUUGGGAAGAACACCAGUGGCGAAGGCGGCUAUCUGGACCGUAACUGACGCUGAGGCGCGAAAGCGUGGGGAGCAAACAGG
rnacentral:rRNA from 1 species